rnacentral:rRNA from 1 species
UACGUAGGGGGCGAGCGUUGUCCGGAAUUAUUGGGCGUAAAGAGCUCGUAGGCGGUCUGUCGCGUCGGUCGUGAAAACUUGGGGCUUAACCCUGAGCUUGCGGUCGAUACGGGCAUGACUGGAGUUCGGCAGGGGAGACUGGAAUUCCUGGUGUAGCGGUGAAAUGCGCAGAUAUCAGGAGGAACACCGGUGGCGAAGGCGGGUCUCUGGGAAGAUACUGACGCUGAGGUGCGAAAGCGUGGGGAGCAAACAGG